rnacentral:rRNA from 1 species
CGGCAUGCCUUACACAUGCAAGUCGAACGGCAGCAUGGAAGAGCUUGCUCUUCUGAUGGCGAGUGGCGAACGGGUGAGUAAAGCAUCGGAACGUACCUUUCAGUGGGGAUAACGUAGCGAAAGUUACGCUAAUACCGCAUAUUCUGUGAGCAGGAAAGCAGGGGAUCGCAAGACCUUGCGCUGAUUGAGCGGCCGAUAUCAGAUUAGCUAGUUGGUGAGGUAAAGGCUCACCAAGGCGACGAUCUGUAGCGGGUCUGAGAGGAUGAUCCGCCACACUGGAACUGAGACACGGUCCAGACUCCUACGGGAGGCAGCAGUGGGGAAUUUUGGACAAUGGGCGCAAGCCUGAUCCAGCCAUGCCGCGUGAGUGAAGAAGGCCUUCGGGUUGUAAAGCUCUUUCAGCCGGGAAGAAAACGCAUGGGUUAAUACCCUGUGUGGAUGACGGUACCGGAAUAAGAAGCACCGGCUAACUACGUG